CACCUUCUUGCCUUACUGCUUGGUUUUGACGCUGAGAAACAGAAACAACUGAUAAACUUAUUUUCUUAUUGUCAAAUGUUAUGUUUUAGUAGUAAUGAAUUACUGAAAUAUGAAAUAUGGGGCAUUUUGAGUGAAAGUGUUUUUCUUACAGUUUCCACCUUCAAGACAGAAAAAUCACAUCCCACUGAUGAUGUAAUUCAAUAAAUGUGAUCAUCCAAACAUGUCAGAGAUAAAUCCCUCAAGACCAAGGGAAACAGACUCUAUGGAGGAACCCACUGGCAGCCCUUCAGAUGCAUCUUUGCCACUGAUGAAUUUGAUGCUGUUUGGGAGGAAAGGAAUCCAAAGGACAUCCAUCGGCAACAUCAUACUUUCACAGUCUCACUCAAAGCAGAAUAUCAGUUCAGACUUUUCGAAGAGGCAAGCUGAAGUAUGUGGAUAUGCAGUCACUCUGGUUGAAGCGCCAAGUCUUGCCACAACGCCUCUCUCAC